UAUUGGGCCAAGUUCUCCUCUCUUUGCAAAUGAGAUAAGAGCACAACUGCAAGAUCUCUCCCAGCACUACAGACGACAGCAUGGAAGAGACGCUGGAGAAACAGAUCCUGCCAUCUGAAGAGAAAGAAUCUGAUGAAGGUGGAAUUCGUCUGCGGUUGAGAGACAGAGACCUGCUGAAGAAACGAAAGGCAGAGGCAGAGGAAGAGACAACCUACCGGGCUCAAAGCAUUAAACGAGUGAAAAAGAGGAGCAGCGGUGCCCCGGGAAGGAAAGGUCGACCAAGAAAAGAAGCGUGUGUGGAUGUUCCAGAAGAUCAGGCUCAGGAAACAGAUGCUGUGUCCGUCACAGAGCCUGCCCUGCCCACGAUAGCAGAGCCGCUGACCGCGAGCGAAAAUCCUCUGGAAGGCUUUCUGAUCGAGGACCUGGGGCCCAAAGAGGAGAAGAGCCUCGUCACUGAUACAGGUGAUGUUCCUGAACAGAGUCAGAGCUCGAGGAAUCCUGCAGCUCCUGCUCAACCUGAUGAUCCCACUCUCUUUUCUACAGAAGACUGGGUUUAACUAACCAGUCUAAGCCUGAAACAAGAACAAAUGUAUAUUUAUUAAAAAUCACAUUUCCAUGUGUAUAUGACACUCAUCAGUACUCUGUCAAACAAUCCAGAUAUAUUGUUCAUAAUAAUAAUAAAAGUUACAGUAUAGCUCUUCUGUGCCCUCUAGUGAUUGUAAACUAGAGCUUCGCAAAAAGAAAGAAAUUGCCAUAAGCCUUGUUUAGUUUGUUUGUACAACUGACUAUUUAAAAUAAAAUGGCUUUUAUAUUUUGUCUUUGUCUGCAUUCAUUUCACUGGAUUCUUAAACCAUCAUGUAAGAAUCAAUCUGAUUUACAGCAGUUUAAUAAAACCAGAACACACAAACUACACGAUUAAAACAUGAAAUUGUAUUAAAUUAUUGAAACUAAUUUAAUACAGCAAUACAAUACAACUAGAAAUACAGUUUGUUUUGGCUGAAAAUAGUAUUUUAGCUACAUCUGUGCUGUGAACAUCUUAAAGUGUUUUGAAAUUACUAUUUUCAUCUGGUUCGAGACAAUGUUUGUUAUUUUACAGCUGCUCUCAGCGCAGACAGCAACACAGACUACAUUUAGUUAGUCAUAAAUCAAUAAAACAGAUUAAAGGGUUAAUAUAUACAGUACAGACCAAAAGUUUGGAAACAUUACUAUUUUUAAUGUUUUUGAAAGAAGUUUCUUCUGCUCAUCAAGCCUGCAUUUAUUUGAUCAAAAAUACAGAAAAAAAUGUAAUAUUGUGAUAUAUUAUUACAAUUUAAAAUAAUUGUUUUUAAAUUUAUCAUACUUUAAAUUAUCAUUUAUUUCUGUGAUGCAAAGCUGAAUUUUUAGGAUCAUUAUCACAUGAUCCUUUAGAAAUCAUUCUAAUAUGAUGAUUCAUUAUCAAAGUUNNNNNNNNNNNNNNNNNNNNNNNNNNNNNNNNNNNNNNNNNNNNNNNNNNNNNNNNNNNNNNNNNNNNNNNNNNNNAAUGAUUUCUAAAUGAUCAUGUGAUAGACUGGAUGUUACAUGUGACACUGAAGGCUGGAGUAAUGAUGCUGAAAAUUCAGCUUUGCAUCACAGGAAUAAAUUAUUUUUUUAAAAGUAUAUUCAAAUAGAAAACUAUUAUUUUAAGUUGUAAUAACAUUUCACAAUAUUACAUUUUUUUUUCUGUAUUUUUGAUCAAAUAAAUGCAGGCUUGAUGAGCAGAAGAGACUUCUUUCAAAAACAUUAAAAAUAGUAAUGUUUCCAAACUUUUGACCUGUACUGUAUAUAUAUGUGUGUGUGUGUGUGUGUGUGUGUGUGUGUGUGUGUGUUUGAGGGUUAAUGCUGAUUUCCAGUGCAGUCCAGCAGGCGGUGCUGUAAACACGGAAAGCAGAGAAGAAGAAGAGCUGCGUUUCCGGUGGUUUUUAUCCAAUCAGGUGAUCGUGCGUUUAUUUUGAACGCGCUACUGGCGGUUAAACGGAUAACGCUCGUUCUCCUCAGGAUUAAAGUAAACAAUAACGCUCAGAAAAGCGCGUGUGAUCAUCAAAGGUAAGAGUUUAUGACAGAACGCGCUUUAAUAUAAAUAAAUCAGUGAUAAUAGUUUGGGUUUGUCCGGUUAGUCUGUGGGAAUAAAGACUCCUGAAUCUGAAAACAUGUCAUCGGUCCGCGGCUCGUCGAAUGUGAGUAACAUUACUCGCUUAAUGAUUAAAUCCGAUCUGACAGUUUGAGCUCUAAUCAGUGAUCAGUAUUGUUCACGUGCUUUAUUUCAGCCCAGAGUUCCGCUCAGAGAUGUCACGUUUCAGAACAAACUGCUGAAUUUAAAGGACGGUCCUAAAAUACAGGUUUGGAGAUGUUCCUUCACUGCUCUCGGAUUGCUUUAACCUUGACCUCUGGUGACCUCUGCUGCCAUGUCUUGUUUUCCUCCAGGUUGAAGUGGCUCCUGGUGAAAAGCUUAUUGCAGCGGAUGAACCCGAAGAAGAUCAGGAUGUGGUGUUAAAGUCCUUCGUGUGUCUUGAAGGAGAAGUCGUGGUUCAGGAUGAAGCUGUUCUCGUCAGGCGUCUGGAGGGAGAGGAAGACGUCUCGUUCGGAUCCCUCGUGUGUUCAGGUGGAGAGG
ensembl:lncRNA